GUAAGGAAUAUUGGACAAUGGGGGCAACCCUGAUCCAGCCAUCCCGCGUGCAGGAAGACGGCCCUAUGGGUUGUAAACUGCUUUUAUUAGGGAAGAAAAUUACGAGUUUACUUGUAACUGACGGUACCUAAGGAAUAAGCACCGGCUAACUCCGUGCCAGCAGCCGCGGUAAUACGGAGGGUGCAAGCGUUAUCCGGAAUCACUGGGUUUAAAGGGUGCGUAGGCGGAUAAAUAAGUCAGAGGUGAAAGCUCUGAGCUCAACUGAGGAAUUGCCUUUGAUACUGUUUAUCUUGAAUUAUGUUGAGGUUAGCGGAAUGAGUCAUGUAGCGGUGAAAUGCAUAGAUAUGACUUAGAACACCAAUUGCGAAGGCAGCUAGCUAGGCAUUAAUUGACGCUGAGGCACGAAAGCGUGGGGAGCGAACAGG
rnacentral:rRNA from 1 species